rnacentral:rRNA from 1 species
GUGGGGAAUAUUGCACAAUGGGGGAAACCCUGAUGCAGCGACGCCGCGUGUGGGAAGACGGUCCUCUGGAUUGUAAACCACUGUCCCCAGGGACGAAAAUGACGGUACCUGGGGAGGAAGCUCCGGCUAACUACGUGCCAGCAGCCGCGGUAAUACGUAGGGAGCGAGCGUUGUCCGGAAUUACUGGGUGUAAAGGGAGCGUAGGCGGGGACGCAAGUUGGGUGUAAAAGAUACCGGCUCAACUGGUAUUGGCACUCAAAACUGCGACUCUUGAGUGAAGUAGAGGCAGGCGGAAUUCCUAGUGUAGCGGUGAAAUGCGUAGAUAUUAGGAGGAACACCAGUGGCGAAGGCGGCCUGCUGGGCUUUUACUGACGCUGAGGCUCGAAAGUGUGGGGAGCAAACAGG